AUUCUCUUAGUACCAAAUAGUACAAUUGACUUCCAAUCAAUUAGUUUCGGUAUAAUCCGAAAGAGAAUA
rnacentral:tRNA from 3 species